GUAAGGGCAUACGGUGAAUGCCUUGGUAACAGGAGGCGAUGAAGGACGUAGGAGCCUGCGAUAAGCCUCGGGGAGCGGGCAAGCACGCGAUGAUCCGGGGAUUUCCGAAUGGGGAAACCCGACAUGGUCAAGCCAUGUCAUCUUCUUUUAGGAGAAGGAGCCAACCCGGGGAACUGAAACAUCUAAGUACCCGGAGGAAAGGAAAUCAAAAGAGACUCCGCUAGUAGCGGCGAGCGAACGCGGAAUAGCCCAAACCGUCUCAAGUUUUUGAGGCGGGGUUGUAGGACCCACAUAACGGUAUUGAAAGAAGCUAGUGGAAGCACCUGGAAAGGUGCGGCACAGAAGGUGAUACCCCUGUACACGAAAGCGGAAGUCAACCAGUGGGAUUCCUGAGUACCCUCGGACACGAGAAAUCCGGGGGGAAGCUGGGGGGACCAUCCUCCAAGGCUAAGUACUACCUGUUGACCGAUAGUGAACAAGUACCGUGAGGGAAAGGUGAAAAGUACCCCGAUGAGGGGGGUGAAAUAGAACCUGAAACCGUAUGCUUACAAACAGUGGGAGCCCUUCGGGGUGACCGCGUACCUUUUGCAUAAUGAGCCAGCGAGUUGCGUAUAAUGGCAAGGUUAAGCCGAUAGGUGUAGCCGUAGGGAAACCGAGUCUGAAUAGGGCUAUGAGUCGUUGUAUGCAGACCCGAAACCAGGUGAUCUACCCAUGGCCAGGGUGAAGCGUUGGUAACACUUCGUGGAGGCCCGAACCCACCAGAGUUGAAAAUCUGGGGGAUGAGCUGUGGGUCGGAGUGAAAGGCUAAUCAAACCUGGAAAUAGCUGGUUCUCCCCGAAAGAUAUUUAGGUAUCGCCUCGAAUAGCACUGUUGGGGGUAGAGCACUGAAAGGGCUAGGGGCCUUCACCGGUUACCAAACCCUAUCAAACUCCGAAUACCAACAAGUGACGUUCGGGAGUCAGGCUGCGGGAGAUAAGUUUCGUAGCCAAAAGGGAAACAGCCCAGACUCCCAGCUAAGGUCCCCAAAUCCAUGCUAAGUGGUCAAGGAUGUAGGGGAGCUUAGACAACCAGGAGGUUGGCUUAGAAGCAGCCAUCCUUUAAAGAAAGCGUAAUAGCUCACUGGUCAAGUUCUUCUGCGCCGUAAAUAUAACGGGGCUAAGCAUGGUACCGAAGCUGGAGAUUUAUACUUUAGUAUAAGUGGUAGGGGAGCGUCCUGGCAGCGCUGAAGCGGGAGCGUGAGCGACCGUGGAGUGGUCAGGAGUGAGAAUGCUGGCAUGAGUAACGAUAAAGCGGGUGAAAAACCCGCUCGCCGGAAACCCAAGGUUUCCUAUCCCAGGAUCAUCCGGGUAGGGUAAGUCGGCCCCUAAGGUGUAGCCGAAAGGCGUAGCCGAUGGGAAUCAGGUUAAUAUUCCUGAACCACCGAUGUGGAGCAGAGCGGGGACGGAGAAGGGUAGGUCAGCCAGUUAUUGGAUUCUGGUUUAAGCCUGUAGACCGUCUUUGUAGGAAAAAAACGCAGAGGCAAAGUCGAGAGGUGAUGACGAAGGUCUUUGGACCGAAGUGAUUCAUCCCAUGCUUCCAAGAAAAGCCGCGUACUGUUUUGAUACAUAGGUGACCGUACCGCAAACCAACUCAGGUGGGUAGGUGGAGAACACUAAGGCGCUCGAGAGAACUCUGGUUAAGGAACUAGGCAAAUUGACACCGUAACUUCGGAAUAAGGUGUGCCAUCAUUAAGUGAAGGGACUUGCUCCUGGAGCUGAAGAUGGUUGCAACAAAGCGGCGGUAGCGACUGUUUACUAAAAACACAGGACUCUGCUAAAGCGCAAGCUGAUGUAUAGGGUCUGACGCCUGCCCGGUGCCGGAAGGUUAAGAGGAGUUGUUAGCAGACUUGUCUGCGAAGCAGCGAAUUGAAGCCCCGGUAAACGGCGGCCGUAACUAUAACGGUCCUAAGGUAGCGAAAUUCCUUGUCGGGUAAGUUCCGACCUGCACGAAUGGCGUAACGACUUCCGCACUGUCUCGACCAGGGACUCGGUGAAAUUGACAUGGGGGUGAAGAUGCCCUCUACCCGCAGCCAGACGGAAAGACCCUGUGAACCUUUACUCUAGCUUGUCAGUGGUAUUCGGCUCAGAUUGUGUAGCAUAGGUGGGAGCCUGUGAAACUUGCACGCCAGUGUGAGUUGAGGCACCAAGUGAAAUACCACCCUAUUUGUGGUGGAUACCUAACCCCUUCGGGGGGACAUUGACUGGUGGGGAGUUUGACUGGGGCGGUCGCCUCCUAAAAGGUAACGGAGGCGCGCAAAGGUUCCCUCAGCCUGAUCGGAAACCAGGCGCAGAGUGUAAUGGCAAAAGGGAGCUUGACUGCAACACCGACGGGUGGAGCAGGUGCGAAAGCAGGCCAUAGUGAUCCGGUGGUUCCGCAUGGAAGGGCCAUCGCUCAACGGAUAAAAGGUACUCCGGGGAUAACAGGCUUAUCACGCCCAAGAGUUCACAUCGACGGCGUGGUUUGGCACCUCGAUGUCGGCUCAUCGCAUCCUGGGGCUGGAGCAGGUCCCAAGGGUAUGGCUGUUCGCCAUUUAAAGCGGUACGCGAGCUGGGUUUAGAACGUCGUGAGACAGUUCGGUCCCUAUCUGCUGUGGGCGUAGGAGAGUUGAGAGGAGCUGUUCCUAGUACGAGAGGACCGGAAUGGACAUACCUCUGGUGUUCCAGUUGUCGUGCCAACGGCAUUGCUGGGUAGCUACGUAUGGAAAGGAUAACCGCUGAAAGCAUCUAAGCGGGAAGCCCCCCUCGAGAUGAGCUCUCCCUGAAGGACCCUUGAAGACUACAAGGUUGAUAGGCGGGAUGUGGAAGCACAGCAAUGUGUGUAGCUAACCCGUACUAAUUGUCCGAUUGAUUUCC
rnacentral:rRNA from 1 species